AGAAUCCUCAUGACUGUGACACACAGUCACACAGCCUUCCCAUUCUGAUUCCCAUUCUGAUAAAGAAAAUCACGCUGUAUCUUACUAACCCAGACUCCGUCCCAAGUCCUUCCCAAACUCUUGACCACAGGGGAAAGGUCAGGGCUGGAAGACAGCGACUACAUCUCAUGGGGUUAUAUGCUGCAGCAUCCACUCUGGAAACAACUGCCAGUGGUUGCCCAGAAGAAGGCACGCCAAUCUGCAGACUGCACUGUAAACACAGCCUUCGUGAUCCUGAGGAUGGGACACAAUGGGGGGCAAUGACACACCCCUUCAUUACAGGACAUCUGAGACCUUCUUCAGUUUGUUGAUUUUUUCCAGAAGAGGAAACCAAAGUGGCGCACGCCUUUAAUCCCAGCACUCGGGAGGCAGAGGCAGGCGAAUUUCUGAGUUCGAGUCCAGCCUGAUCUACAAAGGCAGGGCAGAUGUGACUCUGUGUCCUUCCACAAAGGCUAUUGAGGAUACAGGAUGAGACCCAGACGGAGGAAAAACCCGUGGGCAAGAAAGCCCACCCAACAGCCAUGCUGCAGCUCCUCGGUGCCCUCUGCUCUCCUCAGCUUUGUCCCACAGAGACUGCCAGUCAUCAGAGUGACAGUGACUGAGGCGACCCACAGCAAUGGUGGCUACAGGCUCUUCUUAACAACUCUAGAGACUCUUAAUGGUGUCUUCUUCAACUUGAAAACACUGAGGACUCCUCUCCCUACAGGCCACCCCUCAGCAAAGAACACCCCUCUCCCGUCCCUUUUAUCGUCUUUGGCAUCCAUAGGAGAUAGCAGCCCCACUAGAGCGGGAAGUCUGCUCCGCAUCAAAGCCACCCGUUUCUGGUUUUUGUCUUUCAGUACACUCACAGAGCUCUUUAUUCCCAGCAAUCCCCGAGCCCCCGAAUGCUCUAAAUGCCACCAGUGUUUACAUUUUUGUUCAGCCUACACAAGUUCUUUCCUGCCUAAGAACCAUAUGCCCUAUCUCUUUCGUCAUGUGGCCAACACACCCUGCUUCCGUCCCCCUCCUCUGAUUCUUCCGACCUCUGACUCAGUUACACCCAUCCUGGCUGGUAGCGCAGAAGGGAACAUCCGAGACGUGUCAAGUCCUUGCCAGUGCCCUCUGGCAUGCUUCUCUGUAUGCAGAGAGAAAACAUGCCACUUACUCCAGUAGCUCCAGUCACUACUGUGUCCCAGUACUGAGCCCUCUCUGUUAUGGAUCUUGAUAAAUAUGGAUCUUGAUAAAUAUGGAUCUUGAUAAAUGGUCAUGAGUUGUU